rnacentral:rRNA from 1 species
AGUGAACGCUGGCGGUAGGCCUAACACAUGCAAGUCGAACGGCAGCACAGUAAGAGCUUGCUCUUACGGGUGGCGAGUGGCGGACGGGUGAGGAAUACAUCGGAAUCUACUUUUUCGUGGGGGAUAACGUAGGGAAACUUACGCUAAUACCGCAUACGACCUACGGGUGAAAGCAGGGGAUAUUAGGACCUUGCGCGAGUGAAUGAGCCGAUGUCGGAUUAGCUAGUUGGCGGGGUAAAGGCCCACCAAGGCGACGAUCCGUAGCUGGUCUGAGAGGAUGAUCAGCCACACUGGAACUGAGACACGGUCCAGACUCCUACGGGAGGCAGCAGUGGGGAAUAUUGGACAAUGGGCGCAAGCCUGAUCCAGCCAUACCGCGUGGGUGAAGAAGGCCUUCGGGUUGUAAAGCCCUUUUGUUGGGAAAGAAAAGCAGCAGGUUAAUACCCCGCUGUUCUGACGGUACCCAAAGAAUAAGCACCGGCUAACUUCGUG